UAACGCCAUAAUUUUUGUUAAUUUCGGCAGAAAUUAAGGCCUGCCAUAUUAUUCCGGUGAUUGGUGGCGGUUUUUGUAGAAUACGGUGGUUUAAAAUCGCCAUUAUCUUUAGUCUUUCUUAAAGACUUAGAGGUGAUGUUGUUGUGCAUAAGAGAGGAUGAGAAUAAGAGUAAUGUUGCGAAUGAGAGAAUGAGUGUGACGAACCUAACCCUAGUUUUCUGCCGCCGUUCAUCUUCUCACCACUGCUCAGCUCCAAGUUGCCGUAAGCAACGUUAUCAUUGUUGUUGCCUUUGGCGGAGGUUCUAGAUCUGCUUCUCUGGCUUCGAUUUGAGGUUUUAUCGCUGUCGUUCAUCUCCGCCGCCAUUCAUUUGCUCGGCACCGCUCAGCUCCAAGUUGCCGUAAGCAAUGUUAUCGUUGUUGCUGUCUUUGGCGGAGGUUCUAGAUCUGCUUCUCUGGCUUCGAUUUGAGGUUUUAUCGCCGCUGUUCAUCUCCUCGCUGCCGUUCAUCUGCUCGUCGCCGUUCAUCUCCUCACCGCCGCAAGCAACAGCGUUGAUGUUGCCUUCCGUGGAGCUUCUGCGAUCUAAUUUUUUGCUUUGAUUUGAGGGUUUGCUUUUUGUUCACAACCGUUCAUCAUCUCCUCGCUGCCGCAAGCGACGCCGUUGUUUCUCUCUCUGGCGGAGCUUCUGAGAUCUAGUCUUUUGGCUUCAAUUUGCAUAUUCAAUAUGGUUCUCUAGUUGUGAAGCUAUAGUUGCUGCCUCCAACUAAGCUUGUAUGAUUUGGUUCUACCAUCCAUAUCAAUUCACAGUAAUCUACUUCAUCUUCUUUUUUUGAUUUUCGUCCUCCAUACGAUUAAAAUAGUGUUAACUAAUUUAAAUUACAUGAUUAAUGUGCAAUUAAUUGAUGAUUACCUUACGAAUAACUAAACACCAAAGCGAUUACGCAAGUGAUCGUUGAAGAGAAUUAAUUAUUUAAUUAAUUAAUUAAAGAAAUUAUGGCGGAGGACAUUAGAUUCUUCGAGCUGAACACAGGUGCCAAGAUACCUUCUGUUGGAUUAGGAACUUUUGAGGCUGAAAAUUCUGGAGCCUUGGCCAAAGCAGUUACCACCACUAUCAAGAUUGGUUCUGCUCUCAAGAAUCUUUUUGAUAAGUUGAGAUCUCAAUAGCUUGACAUACAUUAUUCAAUUCCAAAGACAAUGCUCCAGAAAAGGAUAUUUGGUCAUGGUGGUGUGAUGAUAUCUGGUCUUGAUUCAUCUGUUUCAAAUGACGAACUUAAGCAUAUUUUUGGAUUAUAUGGAGAAAUUAAAGAAAUCUAUGAAUCUCUUGAAGUGAAUCAUGUGAAAUUCAUCGAGUUCUAUGAUGGGAAGCAAAUCAAGCUUGAACAUGGCCAUCCUAGAAUUGCUUUGUAUUGGCUCGGGGCUGGUGCUAUGCAGGUAGUACUAAUAUUUUUCUCUGAACUGUUAUUACCUUUUAGAUAUAUCACUAUAUUUUAUAAUGUAUUCAGUAGUUUGCUUUCUCAAUUCUUGUACCGGUUGUGAGAUGUGAGAUAAGGUAGCAUUUGGUUAUUUUUGUAGCACGUGUACAAACUCUAUAGCUUGUAACCAAAUCCUAACUCAUUCAAAAUGUUUUAGAUUAUAGCUUCAGAUCUUGUAACCAAACCCUGAGUUCUAUAAGUGUGAAUCAAGUUGAUCCUUCUGUCACCAAUCACUACAAAAGGGGGUUUUCUAAGAAAGGAAUAAAAGGUGGUUACGACUUUCAGUGCACCCAACUACUGUUACCGAUGUGGGAACAUGGCUUCCAUAUUGGAGGUUGAUGAUUGCAAGGGCCACACAUUUAUCCAGGUCAUCUUGGUUGGUGCAAGAGACAUUUUCUGGCAUUUUUGGAUGUACUUUAGCUAUCAUAUUAAAAUUAGAAAACCAAUUUACACUACAGAGGAGGAAGAAUUUUCGUUGCUGUCAUUGAAGACUUGCUGGCAAAAGGAAUGAGAAAUACUCAAAAUGCUACAAGGUAAAAGAAACAGCGAAGUUAGGUCCUGUCAGAGAAGCCUACGAAUUCGAAGGGUACUAUAUAUUAGGUGGAGCCAUCAUAAUUCAAUAAUUCAUGAUUUUUAUGAUAAAGAUUUGAUUUAUCUUUAGCUACAUGUUAUGUUAAGAAUUAAAAAAUCAUGUUAUAUUUGAUACUUUAUUUGUAUAGGAGUUAUAGGAGUUAUUACUUUUGAUUUUCAAUACUAAAAUAUUAUAUAUUAUGUUUAA